UGGUAUCUCACAGAUGCUGGGAAAAAGAUGAAGAGCUCUGCUUUGAGAUGAAUGGAAACUUGGAAUACUUUACGGGUUUCUGCAGUAGAAGUUUGGGGACCUCUCUUCUGGAGUGUGAACAUUACAGUGAUUCCACUCCCACCAUAAUCCAUCACAGCUCAGAGACUGGGACAUCUCUCAGAGCCCAGCCCAGAUUUCUGAAGGACCCAGAAUACUUGACAAGGAGGAAAAUCUUUGGAAAACAGAAGAGGGCUACGAAGGCAAACUAGACCAAAGGAGAAAUUCCUCAGAGCCUCAUAUACACAAUUCUGAAUGGCACCUACCUACUCAAAAAUUGCUGGAUGUGAGAAUAGUCCUAGCUGUUUCCUCAGCAAUAACUCCAAGUCAGGGAUGCUACCAG